rnacentral:rRNA from 1 species
AUACGGAUGGUGCGAGCGUUGUUCGGAAUUACUGGGCGUAAAGGGCGCGUAGGCGGCGAUGUAAGUCAAAUGUGAAAGUCCUCGGCUUAACCGGGGAAGUGCAUCUGAAACUGCAUUGCUUGAGUAUGGGAGAGGAAAGUGGAAUUCCCGGUGUAGAGGUGAAAUUCGUAGAGAUCGGGAGGAAUACCGGUGGCGAAGGCGACUUUCUGGACCAAUGCUGACGCUGAGGCGCGAAAGCGUGGGGAGCAAACAGGAUUAGAUACCCUAGUAGUCC